rnacentral:rRNA from 1 species
GACGAACGCUGGCGGCGUGCUUAACACAUGCAAGUCGAACGGAAAGGCUCUUGCUUGCAGGGGUACUCGAGUGGCGAAGGGGUGUGUCACACGUGGGUGAUCUGCCCUGCACUUCGGGAUAAGCCUGGGAAACUGGGUCUAAUACCGGAGAGGACCACAUUUUGGAGGGUGUUGUGGAGAGUUUUGCGGUGUGGGUUGAGCUCGCGGCCUAUCGGCUGUUGGGGGGGGUAUUGGCCUACCAGGGCGUCGACGGGUAGCCGGCCUGGGGGGGUGUACGGCCACAUUGGGACUGGGAUACGGCCCGGACUCCUACGGGGGGCAGCAGUGGGGAAUAUUGCACAAUGGGCGCAAGCCUGUGGCAGCGAGGCCGGGUGGGGGAUAACGGCCUUCGGGUUGUAAACUCCUUUCGCAAGGGACGAAGCGCAAGUGACGGUACCUGGAGAAGAAGCACCGGCUAACUACGUG